UGGGGGAUAUUGCACAAUGGGCGAAAGCCUGAUGCAGCGACGCCGCGUGGGGGAUGAAGGCCUUCGGGUUGUAAACUUCUUUUGCUCUGAACAAGGCAUGCUAAUGGGUGUGUUGAGUGUAGGGGUUGAUUAGCGCCGGCUAACUACGUGCCAGCAGCCGCGGUAAUACGUAGGGCGCGAGCGUUGUCCGGAAUUAUUGGACGUAAAGGGCUUGUAGGUGGCUGGUUGCGUCUGUCGUGAAAGCUCAUGGCUUAACUGUGGGUUUGCGGUGGGUACGGGCUGGCUUGAGUGCAGUAGGGGAGGCUGGAAUUCCUGGUGUAGCGGUGGAAUGCGCAGAUAUCAGGAGGAAUACCGGUGGCGAAGGCGGGUCUCUGGGCUGUUACUGACACUGAGGAGCGAAAGCAUGGGGAGCGAACAGG
rnacentral:rRNA from 1 species